GUCCACGCCCUAAACGAUGUCUACUAGUUGUUGGUGGAGUAAAAUCCAUGAGUAACGCAGCUAACGCGUGAAGUAGACCGCCUGGGGAGUACGGUCGCAAGAUUAAAACUCAAAUGAAUUGACGGGGGCCCGCACAAGCGGUGGAUUAUGUGGAUUAAUUCGAUGCAACGCGAAAACCUUACCUGGGCUCGAAAUGCAGAUGACAUCCGGUGAAAGCCAGCUCCCGCAAGGGCAUCUGUAUAGGUGCUGCAUGGCUGUCGU
rnacentral:rRNA from 1 species